GAUGAACGCUGGCGGCGUGCCUAAUACAUGCAAGUCGAGCGGAAAGGCCUCUUCGGAGGUACUCGAGCGGCGGACGGCAGAGUAACGCGUAGGAACAUACCCCAAACUGAGGGAUAACUGCCCGAAAGGGUGGCUAAUACCGCAUGUGAUCUUCGGAUUAAAGCUUCGGCGGUUUGGGAAUGGCCUGCGUUCGAAUAGCUAGUUGGUGAGGUAAAGGCUCACCAAGGCGACGAUCGAUAACUGGUCUGAGAGGAUGAUCAGUCUGACUGGAACUGAGACACGGUCCAGACUCCUACGGGAGGCAGCAGUAGGGAAUUUUCCACAAUGGGCGAAAGCCUGAUGGAGCAACGCCGCGUGCAGGAUGAAGGCCCUUGGGUCGUAAACUGCUUUAUGUGAGAAGAAUAUGACGGUAACACAUGAAUAAGGGUCGGCUAACUACGUGCCAGCAGCCGCGGUAAU
rnacentral:rRNA from 1 species